rnacentral:lncRNA from 1 species
CUGAAAGUUGUCGAGUGCGCCUGUCCCUGUGGUGGGAGCAGUGGCGCCGAGCGUGCCCACGGGCCGCCGCUUGGGUUUCUCUCGUGUUCAGGGUAGUAUGGACGUGGACAAUGGCAGUGGCCCCUGGCUGGCCCAAGAGCCGGGUCCAGAUACGCGCGCCUGAUUCCAGGCGUCAUAACCAACCCGGGGCCGCGAGGCUGGGAUCAGGCACCCCGGAGCCGCUUGCCCGUGGCCGGGCUGCUCUCCCCCUCUAAGCCUAAGCACCGCCAGUCGCGGCGCUGCGCUUUCCGCCGACCUCCCAGAGCGUCCCGCCGUCGCCGGCGGCCAGCCUCGCGCAGGACCAGUGUGGCGCCGCCCUGCUGUUGCUGGGGGGCGCCCGAGGCCUCCAUUCCUUGCCCAGGCUUCCGGCUCUCGGGGCGGCCUCCCUUCCGCCCACGCUCCAGGGCUUCCCCGGCUCCCGAGCUCCGAGCUUCCACCACAUCGGCCGGCUCAGGACAGGGCUUCCACUGUAAAGUCGGCUGCCAGACGUGUUGGAGCUCACCGGAUUUGUCCCUGGUGCCUUAUUUAGUUCACUUGGUGAGGUCAUGUUUUUUUCCUGGAUGGUGUUGAUGGUAGUAGAUGUUCUUCAGUGUCUGGACAUUAAAAUCUUGGGCAUGCAGCACCAUAUGAGAGGUUUAAAAAAUAAAAUUAAAAAAGAGAAAAGGUGAGUAUUUAUUGUAGUCUUCACUGUCUGGGCUUAUUUGUAGCUGUCUUUCUUGGGAAGACUUUUCACAUAUUUGAAAAGACUUGGGUCAAAUAUGGGUCAAAUAUGGCUUAGGUUGUGAUCUAAGCCAUAUCUGCUUUAUGGGGUACCUUAUACCCAAUAAUGCUGUAAUUCUUCCAGACUCAGAGAAAUACCACCUUGACAGCCUUCAACAAGAUCCAGGAGAAUUUUCUGGAUUACUAGCCAGAGACUCUUGUUCUCUACCAUUAUUUUCUCUCAAAGAUACAGAGUCUUUCUCUCUGUUCUAAGCCACCUAAAGCUGGGAGAAGAAAGACACAAGCACCCCUGGCCACCACCACUAUGACUGCCCUGGAUCAGACCUGAAGCUAGCACAGCAUCGGGUCUUGCUCAAGUCCUGCUGCAUGAACUUUCUGAUGACUGCCUAUGUUCACUCAAGGCCUUUGGUCUCUACAAUUAGCAGGUGGCAAAGCCAGCCAGGCCUGUGUUCUUUCCUUUAGGGCAGUGAGUGCCCUCAGUCCCUGGCUGGGUCCAGAAAUGCCAUUCAGAAGUCAGGGAGUACAGUCAAAAAUUUUAGAAGUCCACUUGACAUUCUAUUGCAUUGCAGCUGAUCUGGCACUCAAACCACAAGACAUAGUUCUUCCUAUUCCUCCCUUCCUUUCCUAAAGGCAGGGUAGCCACCACCACCUCAGGCCACAGUGAGUACUGCCAGGCUACCACCAAUGUUCCCUUAAGGCCCAAAGCCUCUUGUCAGCUUGUGAUGAAUGCUGCCUGGCCUGGGACUUGCGUUUUCAGGACAAUGGGAUCCCUACUGGCCCUGGGCAGCUUCAUAAAUGCCAACCAAAAAUCAAGUCCUAGAAUCAGGGAUUCUGAAAGUUCGCUUGGUGCUCUACCCACCUCUGGCCUUGCUGGUACCUAAGGGGCAAGAAAAAGUCCCCUUUAAUUUUCCCUCUACUUUUCCCAAGAAGAAGGAGUUUUGCCUCUUAGCCACCACAGCUAGUAAUGUGCUGACCUCACCUAAAUCUAGCAAGUCUAUGAGGGUCAUCCAAGGCCCUUGAUGUAGUACCUGGGUAUGGCUGCUGGUUAUUCAGAGCCCAAAGGUUUUCAAGUUUGCAGGCGAUAAAUCCUGCCAGCACAUGGUUCUUUUCUUCAAGGCAGCAGGUUUUUUUCUGGCCCAGGGUGUGUCUAGGAAUGUCUAGGAGCCAGAGACUGGAAAGGAGGCUGCAGGAUUCUGACCAGUGCACUACCUUGCUGUGGCUGAGCUGGUGCCCAGGAUGAAAGACAAAGUACUCCCUAUUCUUUUCCUUCCUCUCCUCAAGCAGAAGGAUGGGGUCCCUUUUGGAGCCAUGAGCUGUGCAGUCUGGUGUUAGCGGAGUGAUAAUGCCAGAACUCCUUUGGCUGCCCCAGCUGGUGUCUCAGUAUGUUGCCUGCCCUCCCCACCCCAGUCCACUGUCCCUGGGCCCCAUUCAGCCCUAGGCCUCACCUAAGAGUUACAGUCCUGAUGGCCUAGGCUGCCUUUCAAGUUUUCUUAGACACACAGAGUGCGGGAGCCCUUAGUUGCCAGGUUUCCAAACACUGAAGUUCCAACCACUGGAAUCUGAUUCUCCUCUGGCUAGGGCUGGCUUAAUUGAUCACUCUGUGGAUCAGCAUUAACUGCACUUGGUCUGGUUUUCCUUUCUGCUCUAACAGGACAGCACUGAGUUCAGUGCCUCACAAUUGCUGUGUUCUCUCUCCCGCAGAACCCAGAGUUGAUCUCUGCAGCAUGCCAUCACUGCUGGGGAUGAGGAAACGGUGAUUUCAGGACUGUUUUUUCUGUCUCUUCAGUGCCUCUUUCAGUGAUCUGAGGUUAAAACCAGAGGGACAAUCAGUGGAGCCUUCUUUCUGCCGUCUUGCUUUACUCUCACGCCCAAGAAUCAGAAUUCAGAACUUUUAAUAAGAAAAGCUUUCAGAACUCAGGAAGGACAAGGAAGACAUUCUGGUUCUCCAUGCUUAACAUUGGACUGUUUCUUCAACUGAGGUGCAUAGCACUGACUAAUCAGGGAUUAUCAUAGAUAGUUUGACUUGGACUACGCCGUUCAUUCAAAUUCUUUAUCUAGACAAUUUAAGUACUAGCUGAUUUGGCAUGAAAAUCUGGCAAAGUAUUUUCUUGGUAUUCAAUUGAUUUUUAUUCUGCUUGGGUUAGCAGUUUUAUUAACCAGUUAGUCUCUUCAUUAAAGUUCUGGGAAUUCUUACCCAGUUCAAAUAAUAUCAUUCUAAAGUUCUCAAAAACCUGUAUUCAAGAGUGCUUCUGAGGGCCUUCUCCAUCCUUUCAUGAACCUCCUUAAAGAUACAAUAUUCCAGGAUUUUGCAAGCUUGUAAAGUUUUCAGAAACUGCCUCAGAAUUAAGCAAUUUACUGUGGAAAUGACUUUAAGUUGUCAUAGUCAGACACAAUUGACAAGAAAAUUUUAUUUAUUUAUAGGCAUGAGCCACAGCGCCUGGCCUCUAAAGCUAAUUUAAUAAAACUUUAUAAAUGC